rnacentral:rRNA from 1 species
AUGACGUUCGACAAGGUGGAGGAGCUGCGGCCGGGCACCUACGGCCACAACCUCCAGCUCCGGGUGCUCAGCUCCAAGCCCGUCGUCCUCCACAGGCCGCAGGGCGGCAGGGCCGGCGGCAACAUGCGCAUCGCCGAGUGCAUCGUCGGCGACGACACCGGCGUCGUCGUAUUCACCGCCCGCAACGAGCAAGUGGACGUCAUGAAGCCCGGGGCUGUCGUGGAGGCGAGGAAGGCGAGGGUGGACAUGUACAAGGGGUCGAUGCGCCUGGCCGUGGACAAGUGGGGGACGCUCAAGGCCGCCGAGAGCCCUGCGGACUUCAAGGUGAAGGAGGACAACAAUGUGUCCUUGGUCGAGUUUGAGCUCAUCACUGUGAUGCAGUGA